rnacentral:rRNA from 1 species
GAUGAACGCUAGCGGAAGGCAUAAUACAUGCAAGUCGAACGGAUGUAGCAAUACAUUAGUGGCGCACGGGUGCGUAACGCGUAUGCAACCUACCUUCAUCAGGGGGAUAACUACCCGAAAGGGUGGCUAACACCGCAUAAUACUAUUGAGUGGCAUCACUUGAUAUUUAAAUCUGAGGAGGAUGAAGAUGGGCAUGCGUCUGAUUAGCUAGUUGGUGUGGUAACGGCGCACCAAGGCGACGAUCAGUAGGGGAAUUGAGAGGUUGGUCCCCCACACUGGCACUGAGAUACGGGCCAGACUCCUACGGGAGGCAGCAGUAGGGAAUAUUGGUCAAUGGUGGGAACACUGAACCAGCCAUUCCGCGUGCAGGAAGAAGGGUCUCUGACUUGUAAACUGCUUUAGCAAGGGAAGAAAAAGCUCAUGCGUGAGAAAUUGACGGUACCUUGAGAAUAAGCACCGGCUAACUACGUGCCAGCCGCCGCCGUAAAAC